CCUCUUUGGGCGGAAGUGACUCAUCUUUGGGUGGAAGCGACCACCACCCCAGGUCCCCCUGCUGGUGUAAGCCUGGUACUGACAAACACACACGUAGUUUCAUGGGCAAAAGUCAAAAUUCCCAUUGGUUUGAGGUGUUAAACACACAUGGUGAGUUUUGCCCUGUGGAACCUGUUUUCUGUCAGGCAGACAUCAUCUUAUCUGUAAACUCCCAUGUUGAGACAUUUAUGUGGAAAUUAAAAACCUGAUUAAACUAUUUGACAACAAUGAGAAGACAAGAGAUUCUCUGCUGAUUGUGACAACAGGCCCCACACUGCAGCGUUCUGUCUGAAGACUUGCCCACUAGAGAGAGAAACAAAUAGACUUAGGAAUCAGCCCCAAAAUGUCACCAAAAGUGACCUAACCUUUGACUAUCCUCUUGCCUGAUUCACUAAGACUCCCAUAUGCCCUGGCCCAGGAGAAACACACUCUGCAAAUGACCCUUGGUCAUGAAGUGGAUCAGGAGUCUGAGCAUAGUUUCAUCUGAGCUGCAUUCUCAUCUGGAGGCUUAAAUAGCAAGAGCUCCUUUCUCAGGAAAAACAGGUCAUCCAAAUAAAAGUGGACAGAAAAUCUAUCUAUAUUUUUUGCAAAGAAGUUAUAAGAUGGCAAACAGAUUUAGUCAAGGACCUUAAGAAGAUGAGGGAAUUUUUUCUUCUCUACUGGUCCACGAUUUGGAAAAUGAAGAAAAAAGAGGAAAGGAAAACAGAAUUUAAGUUUUACCCAUUUAUUUAGAACCUGAAUGAGCCACUACACUGAAUAAAUGAGCUGAGAUCCACAGCUUAUCUCAAAUAAUGCAAAGAAAGUAAACGUGAAGAGGAAAUUGGAGGUCAGAAAAAGAAAUAUCACUCUAACUGCAGUGUGAAAAAUGGAGAUAGUGAGUUUAGAAGACAGUGGAAGUAUUAAAAAGACCUGAGAGGAAAUCCUUGUAUGGCAUUGAUGUGCUGCCAUGUGGAAAAAGGAUUCCAUAUAUUUUCAGUGGAGCCACAGUGAAUUGGAGUGAAAGAAAAAGAAAACUUUUGUCCAGUUUGAAAAAUAACUGUCCUCUGAGAUUGUUCCAAAAUGCAGUGAACCAAACUAAAAGGACUUGGCUGCUCCCUGGACAUUUGGAAACAUUGAAGACAGAAACAAAAGCAUGCUGAUGCAUGCAGGCUCUUGAAACUUCCACACAGAAUUGACACCCUUUAUUCUGCUGCUUUCUUUUGGCCGAAGAUACAAGGUACUCAUUG